AACGAACGCUGGCGGCAGGCCUAACACAUGCAAGUCGGACGGUAGCACAGAGAGCUUGCUCUUGGGUGACGAGUGGCGGACGGGUGAGUAAUGUCUGGGGAUCUGCCCGAUAGAGGGGGAUAACCACUGGAAACGGUGGCUAAUACCGCAUAACGUCGCAAGACCAAAGAGGGGGACCUUCGGGCGUCUCACUAUCGGAUGAACCCAGAUUGGAUUAGCUAGUAGGCGGGGUAAUGGCCCACCUAGGCGACGAUCCCUAGCUGGUCUGAGAGGAUGACCAGCCACACUGGAACUGAGACACGGUCCAGACUCCUACGGGAGGCAGCAGUGGGGAAUAUUGCACAAUGGGCGCAAGCCUGAUGCAGCCAUGCCGCGUGUAUGAAGAAGGCCUUCGGGUUGUAAAGUACUUUCAGCGGGGAGGAAGGCGGUGAGGUUAAUAACCUUGCCGAUUGACGUUACCCGCAGAAGAAGCACCGGCUAACUCCGUGCCAGCCGCCGCAGUAA
rnacentral:rRNA from 1 species